rnacentral:rRNA from 1 species
CGGCGAGUGAAGCGGCAACAGCUCAAAUUUGAAAUCUGGCCCUCGGGUCCGAAUUGUAAUUUGUAGAGGAUGAUUUUGGUGCGGUAUCUUCCGAGUUCCUUGGAACAGGACGCCUUAGAGGGUGAGAGCCCCGUACGGUUGAAUGCCUAGCCUCUGUAAAUCUCCUUCGACGAGUCGAGUAGUUUGGGAAUGCUGCUCUAAAUGGGAGGUAAAUUUCUUCUAAAGCUAAAUAUUGGCCAGAGACCGAUAGCGCACAAGUAGAGUGAUCGAAAGAUGAAAAGCACUUUGAAAAGAGGGUUAAAUAGCACGUGAAAUUGUUGAAAGGGAAGGAUUUGUGACCAGACUUUUUCUGGGCGGAUCAUCCGGGGUUCUCUCCGGUGCACUUUGCCCAGUAAAGGCCAGCAUCGAUUUUCGGCGGCGGAUAAAAGCAGUGGGAAUGUGGCUCCCUACGGGGAGUGUUAUAGCCCAUUGUAUAAUACGCUGCUGGGGAUCGAGGUACGCGCUUCUGCAAGGAUGCUGGCGUAAUGGUUAUCAAUCACCCGUCUUGAAACACGGACCAAGGAGUCGAACAUUUAUGCGAGUGUUUGGGUGUUAAACCCUCACGCGUAAUGAAAGUGAACGGAGGUGAGAGCCCGUACGGGUGCAUCAUCGACCGAUCCUGAAGUUUUCGGAUGGAUUUGAGUAAGAGCAUAACUGUUCGGACCCGAAAGAUGGUGAACUAUGCGUGGAUAGGGUGAAGCCAGAGGAAACUCUGGUGGAGGCUCGCAGCGGUUCUGACGUGCAAAUCGAUCGUCAAAUCUGCGCAU